rnacentral:lncRNA from 1 species
UAUCCUUACGAUCGGGUCGAAAGUAUUUUUGAUUACCUUGUCGACAAUGUUGUCUAUUAUGGGACACCUUAGAAUUAUCAACAUCAAUCGAAUGAGGGAUGUGCUUAAAAUUUUUCAAACUAGCAGAUAGGAUCUUACUCUCUUCAAGAGUAGCGGUCAUUUGAGUUUGAAUAGCCGCUAUUUGUCGGGUGAGUGCAUCGAAUUGUGAGGGGUUCAUGUUUAAGGUACUAGAGCUAGAAGUGACAAGAUGACCAAUAUGUAACUAAAUGCACUGUAAUAGCAACUUAAUGACAUGCAAUAAAGAGAUCAAUGAACAAAAAGUGCAAGUAAUGGAAAAUGAAAAUUUGAGCUAAUUUUUUUUUUAAUUUAAAUUUUGGGACUAAAAUUAUAUACAACAAGCUAGCACUGCUGAUAUAUAUGUAAAAUAAUAAAGCAAUAGUCAAAUACUAGUCAAAACCUAAUCACGUAAAAUAAGCAGGUUAAAGUGAGAUUUAACGAGGUCAAUGGAUCCAAUUACGUGAGUUUAGAUAAAAAUAGAUCAGUAGCAGCACAAAAAUUUAAUUGAUGCAAUUUCAAAAUGAAACAGUAAUGUAAACCAACAAUAAAUAAAAGCAAGAACUUCUCUUUCGUUCGUCGAAGUAGUCAAGCUAGAUCAACCAGAAUAAAAAAUGUACCUGUAAAUAAUAGAAAAG